UACGGGAGGCAGCAGGUGGGGAAUAUUGGACAAUGGGCGAAAGCCUGAUCCAGCCAUGCCGCAUGAGUGAAGAAGGCCUUCGGGUUGUAAAGCUCUUUAGUGAGAAAGAUAAUGUACGGUACUCACAGAAGAAGUCCUGGCUAACUCCGUGCCAGCAGCCGCGGUAAUACGGAGAGGGCUAGCGUUAUUCGGAAUUAUUGGGCGUAAAGAGCGCGUAGGCUGAUUAGUAAGUUAAAAGUGAAAUCCCAAAGCUUAACUUUGGAAUUGCUUUUUAAAACUGCUAAGUCUAAGAGAUUGAAAGAGGAUAGAGGAAUUCCUAGUGUAGAGGUGAAAUUCGUAAAUAUUAGGAGGAACACCAGUGGCGAAGGCGUCUAUCUGGUUCAAAUCUGACGCUGAGGCGCGAAAGGGCGUGGGGAGCGAAAACAGGGAUUAGAUACC
rnacentral:rRNA from 1 species